CGUGGAGACAGGUGGUGCAUGGCUGUCGUCAGCUCGUGUCGUGAGAUGUUGGGUUAAGUCCCGCAACGAGCGCAACCCUUAUCCUUAGUUGCCAUCAAUUCAGUUGGGCACUUUAAGGAGACUGCCGGUGUCAAACCGGAGGAAGGUGGGGAUGACGUCAAGUCCUCAUGGCCUUUAUGCCCAGGGCUACACACGUGCUACAAUGGACGGCACAAAGGGCAGCGACGCCGCGAGGUGUAGCAAAUCCCAAAAAACCGUUCUCAGUUCGGAUCGGAGUCUGCAACUCGACUCCGUGAAGUUGGAAUCGCUAGUAAUCGUGGAUCAGCAUGCCACGGUGAAUACGUUCCCGGGCCUUGUACACACCGCCCGUCACACCACGAAAGUCUGCUGUACUCGAAGUCGCUGAG
rnacentral:rRNA from 1 species